GAAAUGCGAUAAGUAAUGUGAAUUGCAGAAUUCAGUGAAUCAUCUAAUCUUUGAACGCACAUUGCGCCCCCUGGUAUUCCGGGGGGCAUGCCUGUUCGAGCGUCAUUUCACCACUCAAGCCUCGCUUGGUAUUGGGCAACGCGGUCCGCCGCGUGCCUCAAAUCGACCGGCUGGGUCUUCUGUCCCCUAAGCGUUGUGGAAACUAUUCGCUAAAGGGUGUUCGGGAGGCUACGCCGUAAAACAACCCCAUUUCUAAGGUUGACCUCGGAUCAGGUAGGGAUACCCGCUGAACUUAAGC
rnacentral:misc_RNA from 1 species